GUAGGUGGCAAGCGUUGUCCGGAAUUAUUGGGCGUAAAGCGCGCGCAGGCGGUUCUUUAAGUCUGAUGUGAAAGCCACGGCUCAACCGUGGAGGGUCAUUGGAAACUGGAGAACUUGAGUACAGAAGAGGAAAGCGGAAUUCCACGUGUAGCGGUGAAAUGCGUAGAGAUGUGGAGGAACACCAGUGGCGAAGGCGGCUUUCUGGUCUGUAACUGACGCUGAGGCGCGAAAGCGUGGGGGAGCAAACAGGAUUAGAUACCCUGGUAGUCCACGCCGUAAACGAUGAGUGCUAAGUGUUAGGGGGUUUCCGCCCCUUAGUGCUGCAGCUAACGCAUUAAGCACUCCGCCUGGGAGUACGGCCGCAAGGCUG
rnacentral:rRNA from 1 species